GACGAACGCUGGCGGCGUGCUUAACACAUGCGAGUCGAACGGAAAGGCCCUGCUUUUGUGGGGUGCUCGAGUGGCGAACGGGUGAGUAACACGUGAGUAACCUGCCCUUGACUUUGGGAUAACUUCAGGAAACUGGGGCUAAUACCGGAUAGGAGCUCCUGCUGCAUGGUGGGGGUUGGAAAGUUUCGGCGGUUGGGGAUGGACUCGCGGCUUAUCAGCUUGUUGGUGGGGUAGUGGCUUACCAAGGCUUUGACGGGUAGCCGGCCUGAGAGGGUGACCGGCCACAUUGGGACUGAGAUACGGCCCAGACUCCUACGGGAGGCAGCAGUGGGGAAUAUUGCACAAUGGGCGGAAGCCUGAUGCAGCAACGCCGCGUGCGGGAUGACGGCCUUCGGGUUGUAAACCGCUUUCGCCUGUGAGGAAGCGUGAGUGACGGUAAUGGGUAAAGAAGCACCGGCUAACUACGUG
rnacentral:rRNA from 1 species